GGCCAGACUGCAGACUGGAGACUCUCAGGAUCAGAGGAGGAGAGACGAUCAGAGCCAAGAUCCAGAAGAAAUCUCCAUGAGGGGAUAUUGUUAACCAUCAGGCAGCGCAUUCAGACCCGUCAUCCUGCAUCUGGUUCGUUUCCUGACAUUUCUGUCCCUCAAGUCUUUGGAAACAGUCAGAAGAGCGUCUACGGAGAACACGAAGAACAGUUUUAAAUGAUGACAUUUUGCGUUAAUCACCCCGACUGCAUUAAUCACACGUGACUAUUUUUCACUCAUGUUCCCGGUAAUACCUUACACUCAGUAAUAGCUCUAACAC